rnacentral:rRNA from 1 species
UCCAGACUCCUACGGGAGGCAGCAGUGGGGAAUAUUGCACAAUGGGGGAAACCCUGAUGCAGCAACGCCGCGUGAGUGAAGAAGUAUUUCGGUAUGUAAAGCUCUAUCAGCAGGGAAGAAGAAGGACGGUACCUGACUAAGAAGCCCCGGCUAACUACGUGCCAGCAGCCGCGGUAAUACGUAGGGGGCGAGUGUUAUCCGGAUUUACUGGGUGUAAAGGGAGCGUAGACGGUUUUUCAAGUCUGAAGUGAAAGCCCGCGGCUCAACUGCGGAACGGCUUUGGAAACUGAGUAACUGGAGUGCUGGAGGGGCAGGCGGAAUUCCUGGUGUAGCGGUGAAAUGCGUAGAUAUCAGGAGGAACACCGGUGGCGAAGGCGGCCUGCUGGACAGUAACUGACGUUGAGGCUCGAAAGCGUGGGGAGCAAACAGGAUUAGAUACCCUAGUA